AACGAACGCUGGCGGUACGCUUAACACAUGCAAGUCAAACGGGUGUAGCAAUACAUCAGUGGCAAACGGGUGAGUAAUACAGAGGAAUCUACCUAGCAGUAAGGAAUAACUUUGGGAAACCAAAGCUAAUGCCAUAUAUUACCCUUCGGGGGAAAGAUUUAUCGCUGUUAGAUGAGCCUCUGCCGGAUUAGCCAGUUGGUAGGGUAAUGGCCUACCAAGGCGAUGAUCCGUAGCUGGUCUGAGAGGAUGAUCAGCCACACUGGAACUGAGACACGGUACAGACUCCUACGGGAGGCAGCAGUGGGGAAUAUUGGACAAUGGGCGCAAGCCUGAUCCAGCAAUACCGCGUGAGUGAUGAAGGUCUUCGGAUUGUAAAGCUCUUUUAGUGGAGAAGAUAAUGACGGUAUCCACAGAAAAAGCACCGGCAAACUUCGUGCCAGCCGCCGCGGUAAAAC
rnacentral:rRNA from 1 species